CCUACGGGAGGCAGCAGUGAGGAAUAUUGGUCAAUGGCCGCAGGGCUGAACCAGCCAAGUCGCGUGAGGGAUGACGGUCCUAUGGAUUGUAAACCUCUUUUGUCAGGGAGCAAAGGGCGCCACGUGUGGCGCUUUGCGAGUACCUGAAGAAAAAGCAUCGGCUAACUCCGUGCCAGCCGCCGCGGUAAUACGGAGGAUGCGAGCGUUAUCCGGAUUUAUUGGGUUUAAAGGGUGCGCAGCGGGAAUGUCAAGUCAGUGGUAAAAUUUCGGGGCUCAACCCCGUCGUGCCGUUGAUACUGGCGUUCUUGAGUGAGCGAGAAGUAUGCGGAAUGCGUGGUGUAGCGGUGAAAUGCAUAGAUAUCACGCAGAACUCCGAUUGCGAAGGCAGCAUACCGGCGCUCAACUGACGCUGAUGCACGAAAGCGUGGGUAUCGAACAGGAUUAGAUACCCGAGUAGUC
rnacentral:rRNA from 1 species